AUCUAAAUUAUAAAAAUUUUCAUUAACACAACUCAGCAGAUUGUCGUACAUCAAAAUUAAUGGUUUAAAAAAAUGGGUAUGUGAGAAAUAUGGUUUUCAAUGUGCCAUAGUCCAGGGACUUACACACUGUUUCAGGAAUAUAUUUCCCGCACCACCCUAGGGGUGCAUGUUCUAUGACACUAUGGCAGAAGCCCCGUUGAAAAAGGACUCCCAUUGCCAACAGCAGGAGGUAGUGUGGAAAUAGUAUUCGAUGGAUUAGCUACUUACUUGAACCUAGACGAUCAGCUUCAGGAACCACGUGGGUCAUACCAACUUUGUAUUGUAUGCACGGGUUUUGAUGGGCCAUCCUUAGGGAACGCCUUGACCUACCACGAUGCCUCUUGGGCCU